AUGGAGUUUGCCUAGUGCUGAACAUAAAAAGCUAAAAUUAGGACUCAAUCCAAUAUUGUAAAAAAGAAAUUGGUUAAAAGUUAUAGAUCAAUAACUGUUAACGUGACUCUAUUUUUCAGAUGGAUCAUGUUUACUGCUCCUGGUGAUGUGGAGGCUGGCUCCUUCCCACGGGCUGAAGCGACUUCGUGGUCCCCUUUGGAGCAUCCUGCGCUUCCAGUCGUGGCUCAGCUGUUGUGAGCAACCCACGAGCUCGCUGCAUGCUGUGGGGUUUCUUGUGGAGGAGGCUGACUCCACGGCAGGGUGGUGGAAGUGCUUCCCCCAGGACUGCAUUGAGUCCCUCUAGCUCUGAGCCCCAGGAACCAGCCUUUGGCUUUCCACCAGUAGCUCCUUCUGGACAGAAACCUCCAGUUUCUAAUGGAAAAAAAUAUAGUAUUAAACACAAGCAUGUCCUAGACUGUGAAAUGACAUGCAAGAAAGAGAUAAAACACUAAAAAAUUAAGAGGCAAUGGGAGCCAGCAACUUAAAGGAUCAUUGAAAAACCCUCUUCAGCAUGGGCCAAAUGGCAUCCAACCCAUGUAUCACAUAGCCUUGUCAAAAGCCUGACCGAGGGUGUACUUC
rnacentral:lncRNA from 1 species